rnacentral:lncRNA from 1 species
AAUUUGCGCGCUCUCUUUCUGCUGCUCCCCAGCUCUCGGAUACAGCCGACACCAUGGGUUUCGGAGACCUGAAAAGCCCUGCCGGCCUCCAGGUGCUCAACGAUUACCUGGCGGACAAGAGCUACAUCGAGGGGUAUGUGCCAUCACAAGCAGAUGUGGCAGUAUUUGAAGCCGUGUCCAGCCCACCGCCUGCCGACUUGUGUCAUGCCCUACGUUGGUAUAAUCACAUCAAGUCUUACGAAAAGGAAAAGGCCAGGUAGAACAUGGACAGCAGCAAUUCAACUUUUCCCCACACUGCCCUGCCAAUGUGCCUCGACCUUGACCUGGGGGGCCCACCUCUGGGGUGAGAGGGUGGCUCAUUCAUUCAGUCCUUGGCCAUUCUUCUGAAACUGCCAACAAGGGUGGAAGUUUGGGGAAGUGGACUCCAGUUCACUAAGAAUGGAACUGAGCAUACUUAAUGAAAUCUCAAACAGAAAUGUUCAUACUGAAAGAGUAAAUCAUAUGGUUGAAUUUAAAUGUUUUUCAAGCCUGCCAGGAGUGAAGAAAGCUUUGGGCAAAUAUGGUCCUGCCGAUGUGGAAGACACUACAGGAAGUGGAGCUACAGAUAGUAAAGAUGAUGAUGACAUUGACCUCUUUGGAUCUGAUGAUG